AUGCCAUGGUGCGGACAUAUGACCAGCAUCCCCUUAAAACACUCCCAUGUUUCAUGUAAUGUUUCCAUUGGCCUUUGUUUAAAACGUAAAAUGUCAUCAAUCUAU
rfam:Nicotiana attenuata strain TT chromosome 2, whole genome shotgun sequence.